GCGUCUCCAACCUUCUAUUUUACCAGGUUGACCUCGGAUCAGGUAGGGAUACCCG
rnacentral:rRNA from 1 species